GAGACCCAGUCUUAUUUUUGGGAAAACAUGGUAUAUCUGUAUAUGGAGCCAUACUUGAUUUCUGUUAUGGAGAUGAUUUUGUAUUUUUUUUUUUCAUGGUUUUCAACAGGUUAGUAAAGAUCUUCAAGUUACAGGUAACCAUAAUAGUAUGAAAUCAUGUUUGACUGUCUGAAAAGUAAAUACUUUGAAAUUUGUUGCCGGGAAGUGCAGUUUAAAAAGUGGAUUCAUACAGCAAGGUGAUUCGGGGACGCAAUGUCUGAAUGUUGUCGGAAGUGGAAUAGUCAUAGUUUUUAUUUCAUAUAACAGGGAUUGUUUAAAUUGAUAAUGAAAACAGGAAUCAAGCGAAAAAGUUUUUCCGAGAAGAACUAUAUUCCGAACGAGAUUCCACUACAAAGAUUAAAUACUAAAAUAGAUGGAAUAGUAUGAUGGUGCUCACGUCGUAACGACAUGCAAACAGUUGUCGCAGUUUCCAUGUUAUUGAUUUUGCUUCUCCAAAACAUCGCGUGCAUAAAACAAUAGAAUGACGUGGAAUUGGCAAGUGUGGUAUUAUGAUUGCUCGAAGAUUUAUUCAGAUUCUACGUACCUCAAUCUUGGAGAGAAGAAAUUAUAUCAUGGUGUCUGCUAUGAUGACAACAAUACGGACUCUAUAUAAUUUUGGUUU